AACGAACGCUGGCGGCAUGCCUAACACAUGCAAGUCGAACGAUGCCUUCGGGCAUAGUGGCGCACGGGUGCGUAACGCGUGGGAAUCUGCCUUUCGGUUCGGAAUAACUCAGGGAAACUUGAGCUAAUACCGGAUAACGUCGCAAGACCAAAGAUUUAUCACCGAAAGAUGAGCCCGCGUAGGAUUAGCUAGUUGGUGAGGUAAAGGCUCACCAAGGCGACGAUCCUUAGCUGGUCUGAGAGGAUGAUCAGCCACACUGGGACUGAGACACGGCCAGACUCCUACAGGAGGCAGCAGUGGGGAAUAUUGGACAAUGGGCGAAAGCCUGAUCCAGCAAUGCCGCGUGAGUGAUGAAGGCCUUAGGGUUGUAAAGCUCUUUUACCCGGGAAGAUAAUGACGGUACCGGGAGAAUAAGCCCCGGCUAACUCCGUG
rnacentral:rRNA from 1 species